rnacentral:rRNA from 1 species
GUGGGGAAUAUUGGACAAUGGGGGAAACCCUGAUCCAGCCAUGCCGCGUGAGUGAGGAAGGCCUUAGGGUUGUAAAGCUCUUUCACCCGUGACGAUGAUGACGGUAGCGGGAGAAGAAGCCCCGGCUAACUCCGUGCCAGCAGCCGCGGUAAGACGGAGGGGGCUAGCGUUGUUCGGAAUUACUGGGCGUAAAGCGCGCGUAGGCGGCCGGUCAAGUUAGGCGUGAAAGGCCCGGGCUCAACCUGGGAACGGCGCUUAAGACUGAUCGGCUGGAGUCCGGGAGAGGGUGGUGGAAUUCCCAGUGUAGAGGUGAAAUUCGUAGAUAUUGGGAGGAACACCAGUGGCGAAGGCGGCCACCUGGCCCGGCACUGACGCUGAGGCGCGAAAGCGUGGGGAGCAAACAGGAUUAGAUACCCGAGUAGUCC